AUAGCUUUCAUUUGUCCCCACGAUUAGGCGCCAUUUUGAAUAAGUUAAGAAUAAGGGAAAGAAAUAUGUAGCUUAAAGAUAGUCCGUCGGCCUUGGAGAUAAUAGAAACUGCAGAUGUUAGAGAAUCCGACAUAACAAAGUGUAGAGAUAAUGGGAACUGCAGUUGCUGGAGAAUCCAAGAUAACAAAGUGUGGAGCUGGAUGAACACAGCAGGCCAAGCAGCAUCCUAGCAGCACAAAAGCUGACAUUUCGGGCCUAGACCCUUCAACACCAGCGCUACACUUUGUUAUCUCCGUCGGUCUUGAGUCAGCUUGAAAUGUUUAAAAUUGUGAGUGUCAUACGUAGGGUAGAAGGAAGAAACGUUUCCCUUCGAUGCAGGGAUAAAUGACCAUCGGGUAUAGAUGUAAGGUGAAGGAACACACUCUCCCAUUUCAAGUUCUGCAAACCAGUUUGAGGAAAGGAAUCAUGACAAAAGCUUACAACAGAUCCAGGAUCUCAAAAAACAAAUGGUCAACUACCAGUGCUAUUCGUAACCUCCACUACAACAGCUGCAGUGUUCAACUAUCCAAUCCUUGUAAAUGAUUAAGAGACUGACCUGUAUACAAUUUCAUUAACUUCUCUGUUUUUGGACUUAACUGUGUAUAUGUACUGUAUUACUAAAUUCGUAAUUAAUAAUCUCAUCCUCUGUUCAUUAAAAUAAGUCUGAUUAAAUUGGC